AUGCCCUCCUAAGGUUGAUGCAGUGCCUUCAGAGGCUAACACAGAGGGUAAAGUAAGUCUUCAUAAAACCCAGAGAAGAUGAAAAUUCCUCUCUGGGGUCUCUCUGGAGUCACAGUG